rnacentral:rRNA from 1 species
AGAGUUUGAUCAUGGCUCAGGACGAACGCUGGCGGCGCGCCUAACACAUGCAAGUCGAACGAGCGAGAGAGAGCUUGCUUUCUCGAGCGAGUGGCGAACGGGUGAGUAACGCGUGAGGAACCUGCCUCAAAGAGGGGGACAACAGUUGGAAACGACUGCUAAUACCGCAUAAGCCCACGACCCGGCAUCGGGUUGAGGGAAAAGGAGUGAUCCGCUUUGAGAUGGCCUCGCGUCCGAUUAGCUAGUUGGUGAGGUAACGGCCCACCAAGGCGACGAUCGGUAGCCGGACUGAGAGGUUGAACGGCCACAUUGGGACUGAGACACGGCCCAGACUCCUACGGGAGGCAGCAGUGGGGAAUAUUGCACAAUGGGGGAAACCCUGAUGCAGCGACGCCGCGUGGAGGAAGAAGGUCUUCGGAUUGUAAACUCCUGUUGUUGGGGAAGAUAAUGACGGUACCCAACAAGGAAGUGACGGCCAACUACGUGCCAGCAGCCGCGGUAAAACGUAGGUCACAAGCGUUGUCCGGAAUUACUGGGUGUAAAGGGAGCGCAGGCGGGAAGACAAGUUGGAAGUGAAAUCCAUGGGCUCAACCCAUGAACUGCUUUCAAAACUGUUUUUCUUGAGUAGUGCAGAUGUAGGCGGAAUUCCCGGUGUAGCGGUGGAAUGCGUAGAUAUCGGGAGGAACACCAGUGGCGAAGGCGGCCUACUGGGCACCAACUGACGCUGAGGCUCGAAAGUGUGGGUAGCAAACAGGAUUAGAUACCCUGGUAGUCCACACCGUAAACGAUGAUUACUAGGUGUUGGAGGAUUGACCCCUUCAGUGCCGCAGUUAACACAAUAAGUAAUCCACCUGGGGAGUACGACCGCAAGGUUGAAACUCAAAGGAAUUGACGGGGGCCCGCACAAGCAGUGGAGUAUGUGGUUUAAUUCGAAGCAACGCGAAGAACCUUACCAAAUCUUGACAUCCCGGUGACAAACUGUGUAUAGCAAUCUUUCUUCGGAACACCGGUGACAGGUGGUGCAUGGUUGUCGUCAGCUCGUGUCGUGAGAUGUUGGGUUAAGUCCCGCAACGAGCGCAACCCCUAUCCUUAGUAGCCAGCAGUAAGAUGGGCACUCUAGGCAGACUGCCGGGGAUAACCCGGAGGAAGGUGGGGAUGACGUCAAAUCAUCAUGCCCCUUAUGAUUUGGGCUACACACGUGCUACAAUGGCGUAAACAAAGGGAAGCGAGCCUGUGAGGGGGAGCAAAUCCCAAAAAUAACGUCUCAGUUCGGAUUGUAGUCUGCAACUCGACUACAUGAAGCUGGAAUCGCUAGUAAUCGCAGAUCAGAAUGCUGCGGUGAAUACGUUCCCGGGUCUUGUACACACCGCCCGUCACACCAUGGGAGUCGGAAAUGCCCGAAGCCGGUGACCUAACCGCAAGGAAGGAGCCGUCGAAGGCAGGUCUGAUAACUGGGGUGAAGUCGUAACAAGGUA